AUUGAACGCUGGCGGCAGGCCUAACACAUGCAAGUCGAACGAGUGGCGGACGGGUGAGUAAUGUCUGGGAAACUGCCCGAUGGAGGGGGAUAACUACUGGAAACGGUAGCUAAUACCGCAUACCAUCGGAUGUGCCCACAUGGGAUUAGCUAGUUGGUGGGGUAAAGGCUCACCUAGGCGACGAUGCCUAGCUGGUCUGAGAGGAUGACCAGCCACACUGGAACUGAGACACGGGCCAGACUCCUACGGGAGGCAGCAGUGGGGAAUAUUGCACAAUGGGCGAAAGCCUGAUGGAGCCAUGCCGCGUGAAUGAAGAAGGCCUUCGGGUCGUAAAGUACUGUCAGCGGGGAGGCGUUACCCGAAGAGGAAGCACCGGCUAACUACGUGCCAGCAGCCGCGGUAAUUC
rnacentral:rRNA from 1 species